AUAAAACAUAAGGCAGUAGGUCGACUCAAGGCAGGUCAUAAAAGCGGAGGUGAUUUCUCACCUGAAGUGCUCAGGAUGUUGUUAGUUUACGGGACCAGUAUUUGACGAGGACAUCCGUAAAUUUACCUAUCCAUCAACCAUAAAUCUAAUCAAAAGGGAUUUACCUUCGCACAGUAGCUGAUUUGGACUGACAGCAUUAAAGUGCUUAUUACGUUUUCUAAACAAACAUCCGAGUUAUGUGGAGCACUAUCAAACCCUGGGAUCAAAUCAAACUGAACUGAAAGGGAGAGAAAAACCCAACAAUUCCAGGGGUCGAAUUCGUAUUUGAACCAAGCCACCAACCCCAGACAGAAACGACAUUACUCAAGGGUACAAAUUCGCAAGUCCACGCAAGAAAACCCUUAAAAAACUCCAGCAAGAACUACGCCAAUUUCACGUAGGUCGAUGAAGACAAACAGUCACCACCAUUCAGGCGCACAAUACACAAUGUACAAACAUACAUAAGUAACAAUCUCUCUGGAUUGAGUAAAGGCGUCGAUGAUUAAUGGGCAUCGGGGGCUGUUUAAUCGAUUGGCUUGUAUCGCUGUGAUAAAUUACGUUGUAAACAUUUAAAAUUAUUUACCAUAAUUCACGUGAGCCGGUACGAUCA